rnacentral:rRNA from 1 species
GUGCACCAGGCGCGAAACUUCACACUGUGCGAAAGCACGAUGAGGGAAUCCCAAGUGCUUGCACGUAAGUGUAAGCUGUUUCUCUGUUUAAAACGCAGAGAGAGUAAGGGCUGGGUAAGACGGGUGCCAGCCGCCGCGGUAAUACCUGCAGCUCAAGUGGUGACCGUUAUUAUUGGGCCUAAAACGUCCGUAGCCGGUUUAAUAAAUGCCUGGGUAAAUCGUGUAGCUUAACUAUACGAAUUCCGGGUAGACUGUUAAACUCGAGACCGGGAGAAGUUAGAGGUACUCCUGGGGUAGAGGUGAAAUUCUGUAAUCCUAGGGGGACCACCAGUGGCGAAGGCGUCUAACUAGAACGGGUCUGACGGUGAGGGACGAAGCCCUGGGGCGCAAACGGGAUUAGAUACCCGCGUAGU